UACGAAGGGGGCUAGCGUUGUUCGGAAUUACUGGGCGUAAAGCGCACGUAGGCGGAUCGAUCAGUCAGGGGUGAAAUCCCAGGGCUCAACCCUGGAACUGCCUUUGAUACUGUCGAUCUGGAGUAUGGAAGAGGUGAGUGGAAUUCCGAGUGUAGAGGUGAAACUCGUAGAUAUUCGGAGGAACACCAGUGGCGAAGGCGGCUCACUGGUCCAUUACUGACGCUGAGGCACGAAAGCGUGGGGAGCAAACAGG
rnacentral:rRNA from 1 species